UGGGUGGAGGCCAUGGACUCUGCUCAGCACCCUGCAGGGCCCAGGACGGCCCCAACCCAGAGAGCGAUCCAGCCCCAGUGUCCACAGUGCCAAGGGGGAGAGCUCUCCAGCUUUCUGUCCCCCCACUUGUCUCUUGGGGACAUAA
rnacentral:snoRNA from 1 species